rnacentral:rRNA from 1 species
AUUGAACGCUGGCGGCAUGCUUUACACAUGCAAGUCGAACGGCAGCGCGGGCUUCGGCCUGGCGGCGAGUGGCGAACGGGUGAGUAAUACAUCGGAACGUGCCCAGUAGUGGGGGAUAGCUCGGCGAAAGCCGGAUUAAUACCGCAUACGACCUGAGGGUGAAAGCGGGGGAUCUUCGGACCUCGCGCUAUUGGAGCGGCCGAUGGCAGAUUAGCUAGUUGGUGGGGUAAAGGCCUACCAAGGCGACGAUCUGUAGCUGGUCUGAGAGGACGACCAGCCACACUGGGACUGAGACACGGCCCAGACUCCUACGGGAGGCAGCAGUGGGGAAUUUUGGACAAUGGGCGAAAGCCUGAUCCAGCAAUGCCGCGUGUGUGAUGAUGGCCUUCGGGUUGUAAAGCACUUUUGGCGGGAACGAAAAGGACUGUGCCAAUACCACGGUUCGAUGACGGUACCCGCAGAAUAAGCACCGGCUAACUACGUG